rnacentral:rRNA from 1 species
ACCCGCUGAACUUAAGCAUAUCAAUAAGCGGGAGGAAAA